ACGGAAGGCAGCAGUGGGGAAUAUUGGGCAAUGGGCGAAAGCCUGACCCAGCAACGCCGCGUGAGGGAAGAAGGUUUUCGGAUUGUAAACCUCUGUCCUUGGUGACGAAGGAAGUGACGGUAGCCAAGGAGGAAGCCCCGGCUAACUACGUGCCAGCAGCCGCGGUAAUACGUAGGUGGCAAGCGUUAUCCGGAUUUACUGGGUGUAAAGGGCGCGUAGGCGGGGAUGCAAGUCAGGUGUGAAAUCUAUGGGCUUAACCCAUAAACUGCAUUUGAAACUGUAUCUCUUGAGUGUCGGAGAGGUAGAUGGAAUUCCUAGUGUAGCGGUGAAAUGCGUAGAUAUUAGGAGGAACACCAGUGGCGAAGGCGAUCUACUGGACGAUAACUGACGCUGAGGCGCGAAAGCGUGGGGAGCAAACAGGAUUAGAUACCCUGGUA
rnacentral:rRNA from 1 species